rnacentral:rRNA from 1 species
AGCGUACACGGUGGAUGCCCUGGCAGUCAGAGGCGAUGAAGGGCGUGCUAAUCUGCGAUAAGCGCCGGUAAGGUGAUAUGAACCGUUAUAACCGGCGAUACCCGAAUGGGGAAACCCAGUGUGACUCGUCACACUAUCAUUAACUGAAUCCAUAGGUUAAUGAGGCGAACCGGGGGAACUGAAACAUCUAAGUACCCCGAGGAAAAGAAAUCAACCGAGAUUCCCCCAGUAGCGGCGAGCGAACGGGGAGGAGCCCAGAGCCUGAAUCAGCAUGUGUGUUAGUGGAAGCGUCUGGAAAGGCGCGCGAUACAGGGUGACAGCCCCGUACACAAAAGCGCAUGUGCUGUGAGCUCGAUGAGUAGGGCGGGACACGUGGUAUCCUGUCUGAAUAUGGGGGGACCAUCCUCCAAGGCUAAAUACUCCUGACUGACCGAUAGUGAACCAGUACCGUGAGGGAAAGGCGAAAAGAACCCCGGCGAGGGGAGUGAAAAAGAACCUGAAACCGUGUACGUACAAGCAGUGGGAGCACCCUUUGGGGUGUGACUGCGUACCUUUUGUAUAAUGGGUCAGCGACUUAUAUUCUGUAGCAAGGUUAACCGUAUAGGGGAGCCGGAGGGAAACCGAGUCUUAAUUGGGCGUUAAGUUGCAGGGUAUAGACCCGAAACCCGGUGAUCUAGCCAUGGGCAGGUUGAAGGUUGGGUAACACUAACUGGAGGACCGAACCGACUAAUGUUGAAAAAUUAGCGGAUGACCUGUGGCUGGGGGUGAAAGGCCAAUCAAACCGGGAGAUAGCUGGUUCUCCCCGAAAGCUAUUUAGGUAGCGCCUCGUGAAUUCAUCUCCGGGGGUAGAGCACUGUUUCGGCUAGGGGGCCAUCCCGGCUUACCAACCCGAUGCAAACUGCGAAUACCGGAGAAUGUUAUCACGGGAGACACACGGCGGGUGCUAACGUCCGUCGUGAAGAGGGAAACAACCCAGACCGCCAGCUAAGGUCCCAAAGUCAUGGUUAAGUGGGAAACGAUGUGGGAAGGCCCAGACAGCCAGGAUGUUGGCUUAGAAGCAGCCAUCAUUUAAAGAAAGCGUAAUAGCUCACUGGUCGAGUCGGCCUGCGCGGAAGAUGUAACGGGGCUAAACCAUGCACCGAAGCUGCGGCAGCGACGCUUAUGCGUUGUUGGGUAGGGGAGCGUUCUGUAAGCCUGUGAAGGUGGCCUGUGAGGGUUGCUGGAGGUAUCAGAAGUGCGAAUGCUGACAUAAGUAACGAUAAAGCGGGUGAAAAGCCCGCUCGCCGGAAGACCAAGGGUUCCUGUCCAACGUUAAUCGGGGCAGGGUGAGUCGACCCCUAAGGCGAGGCCGAAAGGCGUAGUCGAUGGGAAACGGGUUAAUAUUCCCGUACUUGGUGUUACUGCGAAGGGGGGACGGAGAAGGCUAUGUUGGCCGGGCGACGGUUGUCCCGGUUUAAGCGUGUAGGCUGGUUUUCCAGGCAAAUCCGGAAAAUCAAGGCUGAGGCGUGACGACGAGGCACUACGGUGCUGAAGCAACAAAUGCCCUGCUUCCAGGAAAAGCCUCUAAGCAUCAGGUAACAUCAAAUCGUACCCCAAACCGACACAGGUGGUCAGGUAGAGAAUACCAAGGCGCUUGAGAGAACUCGGGUGAAGGAACUAGGCAAAAUGGUGCCGUAACUUCGGGAGAAGGCACGCUGACACGUAGGUGAAGUGAUUUACUCAUGGAGCUGAAGUCAGUCGAAGAUACCAGCUGGCUGCAACUGUUUAUUAAAAACACAGCACUGUGCAAACACGAAAGUGGACGUAUACGGUGUGACGCCUGCCCGGUGCCGGAAGGUUAAUUGAUGGGGUCAGCGCAAGCGAAGCUCCUGAUCGAAGCCCCGGUAAACGGCGGCCGUAACUAUAACGGUCCUAAGGUAGCGAAAUUCCUUGUCGGGUAAGUUCCGACCUGCACGAAUGGCGUAAUGAUGGCCAGGCUGUCUCCACCCGAGACUCAGUGAAAUUGAACUCGCUGUGAAGAUGCAGUGUACCCGCGGCAAGACGGAAAGACCCCGUGAACCUUUACUAUAGCUUGACACUGAACAUUGAGCCUUGAUGUGUAGGAUAGGUGGGAGGCUUUGAAGUGUGGACGCCAGUCUGCAUGGAGCCGACCUUGAAAUACCACCCUUUAAUGUUUGAUGUUCUAACGUGGACCCGUUACCCGGGUUGCGGACAGUGUCUGGUGGGUAGUUUGACUGGGGCGGUCUCCUCCUAAAGAGUAACGGAGGAGCACGAAGGUUGGCUAAUCCUGGUCGGACAUCAGGAGGUUAGUGCAAUGGCAUAAGCCAGCUUGACUGCGAGCGUGACGGCGCGAGCAGGUGCGAAAGCAGGUCAUAGUGAUCCGGUGGUUCUGAAUGGAAGGGCCAUCGCUCAACGGAUAAAAGGUACUCCGGGGAUAACAGGCUGAUACCGCCCAAGAGUUCAUAUCGACGGCGGUGUUUGGCACCUCGAUGUCGGCUCAUCACAUCCUGGGGCUGAAGUAGGUCCCAAGGGUAUGGCUGUUCGCCAUUUAAAGUGGUACGCGAGCUGGGUUUAGAACGUCGUGAGACAGUUCGGUCCCUAUCUGCCGUGGGCGCUGGAGAACUGAGGGGGGCUGCUCCUAGUACGAGAGGACCGGAGUGGACGCAUCACUGGUGUUCGGGUUGUCAUGCCAAUGGCACUGCCCGGUAGCUAAAUGCGGAAGAGAUAAGUGCUGAAAGCAUCUAAGCACGAAACUUGCCCCGAGAUGAGUUCU